ACGGGUAAGCUGGGAUAAAAAUGGGUGCUAAUCAAUUUCGCAAAAGGCCGGUUAAGCGGCCCUCUCACGGCGCAAACAGGGGUUCGAUUCCCCUUGGGCGUACCA
rnacentral:tRNA from 1 species